AUGUAUAACUGCUACCGCAUGACUAGUAACAGUGCCCCCACCCUCACCGUCCUGCCCCCCUCUAGCGAGGAGCUGUCCAGUACAACAGCCACACUGACGUGUCUGGCCAACAAGGGCUUCCCCUCAGACUGGAUCAUGAGCUGGAAUGUGGACGGGACCAGCCAGAAGCAGGAGGCCAAUCCUGGGGUCCUGGAGAAGGCCGGCCUGUACAGCUGGAGCAGCACCCUGACUCUCACUUCCCAGGAGUGGACCAAGGCAGGAGAGGUGACCUGUGAAGCCCAGCAGAAAUCCCAGACUCCAGUCACCAAGACCCUGAGGAAGGCUGACUGUUCUGGGUAGGACCCACCAGUCACACACUCCUGUGGAGAGAGGCUGCUGGUUCCUCUGCUUUGACUCUGUUCUGAGAUCAGAUGUUCUCUGUCUUAUUGAUCACUGAUAUGUAGACUAACAGUGGGCUUUUCUUGAGUUCAUGUGUCAUUCCUCUCUGUAGACUGAGGUUGUAUCUAUCAGGUAUGAAGAGAAGACCCAGAUGCAGACCAUGUUGAAUAAACAAUAGUUCAGUGCUCCAACAGGGGCAGGCAGUAGACAGGUCAAUGCAGGCAGGGGUCAGAAAACCAGAGGUCGGCAACGGUACAGGAUAGCAGGUGGACUCAGGGUCUGGGUAAGGCAGAGGCAGGCGGGCUCAGAGUCAGGACAGGCAAGGGUCAAAACCA